rnacentral:rRNA from 1 species
UACGGAGGGUGCAAACGUUGCUCGGAAUCAUUGGGCGUAAAGCGCACGUAGGCGGUUCUGUAAGUCGGGCGUGAAAUCCCUCGGCUUAACCAAGGAAGUGCACUCGAAACUACAGAACUUGAAUACUGGAGAGGGUCGCAGAAUUCUCGGUGUAGAGGUGAAAUUCGUAGAUAUCGGGAGGAAUACCAGUGGCGAAGGCGGCGACCUGGCCAGAUAUUGACGCUGAGGCGCGAAAGCUAGGGGAGCAAACGGG